rnacentral:rRNA from 1 species
AGAGUUUGAUCAUGGCUCAGAUUGAACGCUGGCGGCAUGCCUUACACAUGCAAGUCGAACGGCAGCACGGGAGCAAUCCUGGUGGCGAGUGGCGAACGGGUGAGUAAUAUAUCGGAACGUGCCCAGUGAUGGGGGAUAGCCCGGCGAAAGCCGGAUUAAUACCGCAUACGACCUACGGGUGAAAGCAGGGGAUCGCAAGACCUUGCGUCAUUGGAGCGGCCGAUAUCAGAUUAGCUUGUUGGUGGGGUAAAAGCCUACCAAGGCGACGAUCUGUAGCUGGUCUGAGAGGACGACCAGCCACACUGGGACUGAGACACGGCCCAGACUCCUACGGGAGGCAGCAGUGGGGAAUUUUGGACAAUGGGCGCAAGCCUGAUCCAGCCAUGCCGCGUGCGGGAAGAAGGCCUUCGGGUUGUAAACCGCUUUUGUCAGGGAAGAAACGGUUCGGGUUAAUACCUCGAACUAAUGACGGUACCUGAAGAAUAAGCACCGGCUAACUACGUGCCAGCAGCCGCGGUAAUACGUAGGGUGCAAGCGUUAAUCGGAAUUACUGGGCGUAAAGCGUGCGCAGGCGGUUAUGCAAGACAGAUGUGAAAUCCCCGGGCUCAACCUGGGAACUGCAUUUGUGACUGCAUGACUUGAGUACGGUAGAGGGGGAUGGAAUUCCGCGUGUAGCAGUGAAAUGCGUA